UGCCCAAUGAAAAUUAAAUGGCUGCAGUAUUAUGACUGUACAAAGGUAGCAUAAUCAAUAGUUUCUUAAUUAGAAGCUGGAAUGAAUGGAUUAACGAGAAAUUAACUGUCUCUAAUUUAAUAAUAGAAUUUUAUUUUUAAGUUAAAAAGCUUAAAUAUAAUUAAAAGACGAGAAGACCCUAUAGAGUUUUAUAUUUUUAAAAAAUAUAUUUAUUAUAAAUAUUUUUAUAAAUAUUUAAUUGGGGUGAUUUAAAAAUUUAAAAAACUUUUUAUAUAUUUAAACAAUAAUUUUUGAUUAAAUGAUCCAUUAUUAUGAUUAAAAGAAAAAAUUACCUUAGGGAUAACAGCGUAAUAUUUUUUUAAAGUUCAUAUUAAAAAAAAUGAUUGCGACCU
rnacentral:rRNA from 1 species